rnacentral:rRNA from 1 species
AGUGAACGCUGGCGGUAGGCCUAACACAUGCAAGUCGAACGGCAGCACAGUAAGAGCUUGCUCUUACGGGUGGCGAGUGGCGGACGGGUGAGGAAUACAUCGGAAUCUACUUUUUCGUGGGGGAUAACGUAGGGAAACUUACGCUAAUACCGCAUACGACCUACGGGUGAAAGCAGGGGAUCUUCGGACCUUGCGCGAUUGAAUGAGCCGAUGUCGGAUUAGCUAGUUGGCGGGGUAAAGGCCCACCAAGGCGACGAUCCGUAGCUGGUCUGAGAGGAUGGUCAGCCACACUGGAACUGAGACACGGUCCAGACUCCUACGGGAGGCAGCAGUGGGGAAUAUUGGACAAUGGGCGAAAGCCUGAUCCAGCCAUACCGCGUGGGUGAAGAAGGCCUUCGGGUUGUAAAGCCCUUUUGUUGGGAAAGAAAAGCAGCAGGUUAAUACCCCGCUGUUCUGACGGUACCCAAAGAAUAAGCACCGGCUAACUUCGUG